rnacentral:rRNA from 1 species
GGGGAAUAUUGGACAAUGGGGGGAACCCUGAUCCAGCCAUGCCGCGUGUGUGAAGAAGGCCUUAUGGUUGUAAAGCACUUUAAGCGAGGAGGAGGCUACUGAGACUAAUACUCUUGGAUAGUGGACGUUACUCGCAGAAUAAGCACCGGCUAACUCUGUGCCAGCAGCCGCGGUAAUACAGAGGGUGCGAGCGUUAAUCGGAUUUACUGGGCGUAAAGCGUGCGUAGGCGGCUUUUUAAGUCGGAUGUGAAAUCCCCGAGCUUAACUUGGGAAUUGCAUUCGAUACUGGGAAGCUAGAGUAUGGGAGAGGAUGGUAGAAUUCCAGGUGUAGCGGUGAAAUGCGUAGAGAUCUGGAGGAAUAUCGAUGGCGAAGGCAGCCAUCUGGCCUAAUACUGACGCUGAGGUACGAAAGCAUGGGGAGCAAAC